rnacentral:rRNA from 1 species
ACCUGCCUGUAAGAUUGGGAUAACUCCGGGAAACCGGAGCUAAUACCGGAUAAUAUGUUGAACCGCAUGGUUCAACAUUGAAAGAUGGCUUUUGCUAUCACUUACAGAUGGACCCGCGGCGCAUUAGCUAGUUGGUGAGGUAACGGCUCACCAAGGCAACGAUGCGUAGCCGACCUGAGAGGGUGAUCGGCCACACUGGGACUGAGACACGGCCCAGACUCCUACGGGAGGCAGCAGUAGGGAAUCUUCCGCAAUGGACGAAAGUCUGACGGAGCAACGCCGCGUGAACGAUGAAGGCCUUCGGGUCGUAAAGUUCUGUUGUUAGGGAAGAACAAGUACCAGAGUAACUGCUGGUACCUUGACGGUACCUAACCAGAAAGCCACGGCUAACUACGUGCCAGCAGCCGCGGUAAUACGUAGGUGGCAAGCGUUGUCCGGAAUUAUUGGGCGUAAAGCGCGCGCAGGUGGUUUCUUAAGUCUGAUGUGAAAGCCCACGGCUCAACCGUGGAGGGUCAUUGGAAACUGGGGAACUUGAGUGC